rnacentral:tRNA from 1 species
GCAGAGGUGGCCGAGUCGGUCAAAGGCGCAGGACUUAAGAUUCUGUCCCGCAGGGGUUCAGGGGUUCGAAUCCCCUCCUCUGCACCA